GAGCUUCUCCAUUCAUCUACUAGACUGCUCCAAAUGCUCUCUGGGCUUCACUAUCAGCCGAUUUUCUACAGUGAUCAACUAUUCUCCGAAUCCCUUCCAGACUUAUUUCGACCACGGACGACUCUACUCCGAACUUCAUCAAUAUCCGAGCUUCUCCGACAAUGAGAUUUCAACGGUAACCAGACUCCAUCCAAGUUUCUACGACGGUCGACCACCUUCCGAAUUCCAUCCGAGCUCCUACG
rnacentral:lncRNA from 1 species